UUUGUCCAUUGUUUGCAGGGCUCUCUUUGCUUUUGGGUUAUCCACUACGAUGAUUGUUAUUGUAAGGAACAAGGAAAGCAAUUUGUUGAAGAGGAAUUCCAUUCCUGAAAGACCCAAUUCCUGGAUGAUUGGAAAACUCGGAGUCUUGAAGAUCAGGGUUUCAAGGCUAUGCCUUUCUUCAUCUGCCCAUCAUUCUUUCUCCAUUAAAGCUAUGGCUAAGAAGAAUAGUCUAGAUAAUUCCUUUUCCUCUUCUUCUUCUGGUUGAAUCUAAUAAUGAGGUGCUUCCACUUUAUUCCUUGAAUGCCGAGUUUGCAAGACCAUUAUGGAUUUUUGGAAUGAAUUCUUAUGAGUUCCUCAUGAGCGAUGUAGAAAAAACCUUAAUUACUUGCAGCUACAGGCAGAAUGGGAGGUCAUAUCUUGGAAUUCUAGAUGAUUUUCAGGGUUCAAUUUCUCUGCAUGAUAUUCCUUUCACAGAUAAAGAAAAUAUUGUACUUUCCAAAUCCUAGACGCUUCAUAAUAUUAACUUUAAAACCAUUCGCGCAUGGGAAAUCAUAAUGAUGGUUUUUUAAGAUGUAAGUUGUUUCUUUUGCAGACUUCAUGGAAUGAUUAUCUGUAUGUUGAGGGCGCCUUUGCAAUUCAUCCUUCAUCAUCGGCUAAGGUCAGAUUGUCCACUUCUUCUAAAAAGUUAAUCCUAUUUUGAUUGAAGUAAAUAGCACUACGAAACUUGCUAAUGAUUUUUUUUUUAAUUUGACAUUUUUGUAUAUAUCAUUCCCUCAUCUCCUUGUUGA